GUCCAUUUCCUGGUAUCCCAUUGACUGCUCAUGCUAACCUAGGUUACAAUAUUAACCUGCCUUCCUGAUAUUGGUCCUGUGUACUCUGUCUUCUUCUCUGCUGAUUUCUGGUUUGAAGAUCAAUCUCACUGCAAUGGGAAAACAUAUCUUGCUGCUCCCACUGGGCCUGUCUUUGCUCAUGAGCUCCCUGCUAGCUUUGCAGUGCUUCAGAUGUAUAGCUUCGAUUCUACAGGAUUUUGUCAUGUUGGAAGACA
rnacentral:sRNA from 1 species